GAAAUCUUUGUCUUCUAGCCUUGUAGGGUACUUCAUCGGGCCCCAUCUUCACAUGGCUUGUGCAGAGAUUCCAUUUAGCCGUCCACGUUUUUCACAUAUAUAGCCACAUCUUCACAUGGCUUGUGCAGAGAUUGCAUUUAGUCGUCCAUGUUUUCCAAAUACAUCUCUCUUUAUGUCACGUCUGGUCCCUACUUGUUGUCUCUACCAUUAUUGUUCUUUGUCUUUUUCUUGAUUCAUUAUUUCUGAAGAAUAACUCUAUUUUUAUGUGUCUAAAUUAUGUAGUGCUAUUGAAUCAAAACUUAUCCCUGAAUCGUAGUCUUCAUAUGGAUCUUGAGCAUCCUGAUAAUUCAGGUGGUCUUCAUUAUCGUCUCCUCUUGAGCUUCGAGAUCUUUCUGGACUGGACCUUGACCUUUCUGGACUGGGAUUAGGAUUUUUUAUCAUAUGUUUAUCUUGUUUUUCCUUUUCCUGAAAGAAAUUUUCUAGUGUCUGUUUAAUUACAUCUUCUAUUUUCUCAUUUUUUUCUUUUUAACAAUUGUACUCU
rnacentral:lncRNA from 1 species